AUUGCUUCUCAGCCUUUUGGCUAAGAUCAAGUGUAAAAUGCAUGUACUAAUUGCUUAUGAUUACACAAAGAAUAGAAUUGGUGGGUAACAAAAUCACGUGUAUUUAUACAGUAUUUGCACUAAAUGCUUUCUCAGCCAGCUGAUCAGAGCUAAACAUC
ensembl:snRNA U2 U2 spliceosomal RNA